UGAACAGUUUGUAGCUUAAUGGUUAGAGCAUCCGCCGCGGAUGUGGGAGGUUGCGGUUUCGAACUCCAGCCUAGUCAU